UAUUGCUUACGUAAUGUUGAUAUUGAGUAGUACCAUACAUAACCUCAACAUUAUGAUACUUACAAACAUCGCUAAACAAGUAGUGCGAACGAUGUCGACAUUUCGCUUGGCGUUGGUACAACUUGAAGUAAAUGAAGUAAAACGCAAAAAUGUAGAGCGGGCAGUUUCCUACAUUUCUAGCGCAAAAGAGCGCAAUGCUGAUAUUAUAGCUCUUCCUGAAUGCUUUAAUUCACCAUAUGGAAUACGUAAUAAUUUGUUUUUUUUUUCAAUAAUUUACCAUGUGUGUAACAACUAUAUAGAAAAAAGUAAAAGUAGACAAAUUACCUUACCGUUUAUACUUCCAUAAAGAUUGUGAAUUGAGUCGAGAAUAUAGGAUUUCCCCAUUUU